GAUGAACGCUAGCGGCAGGCCUAAUACAUGCAAAUCGAACGGUGUCUUCGGACAUAGUGGCGCACGGGUGCGUAACGCGUGGGAAUCUGCCCUUGGGUUCGGAAUAACAGUGAGAAAUUACUGCUAAUACCGGAUGAUGACGUAAGUCCAAAGAUUUAUCGCCCAAGGAUGAGCCCGCGUAGGAUUAGCUAGUUGGUGGGGUAAAGGCCCACCAAGGCGACGAUCCUUAGCUGGUCUGAGAGGAUGAUCAGCCACACUGGGACUGAGACACGGCCCAGACUCCUACGGGAGGCAGCAGUGGGGAAUAUUGGACAAUGGGCGAAAGCCUGAUCCAGCAAUGCCGCGUGAGUGAUGAAGGCCUUAGGGUUGUAAAGCUCUUUUACCCGGGAUGAUAAUGACAGUACCGGGAGAAUAAGCUCCGGCUAACUCCGUGCCAGCAGCCGCAGUAACAC
rnacentral:rRNA from 1 species